rnacentral:rRNA from 1 species
CCAGCAGCUGCGGUAAUUCCAGCUCCAAUAGCGUCUAUUAAAGUUGUUGCAGUUAAAAAGCUCGUAGUUGAAUUUCGGACACGUCUGAUUGGUCUGCCUAACGGUACGUACCGGUUAGCGGUGUCUUCCUUUCUGGUGAUCUUGGCUGUUCUUUAUUGGGUGGCCAAGAAACCCAGGACUUUUACUUUGAAAAAAUUAGAGUGUUCAAAGCAGGCUUACGCUUGAAUACAUUAGCAUGGAAUAAUAGAAUAGGACUUUGGUUCUAUUUUGUUGGUUUCUAGGACCGAAGUAAUGAUUAAUAGGGAUAGUUGGGGGCAUUAGUAUUUCAGUGUCAGAGGUGAAAUUCUUGGAUUUCUGAAAGACUAACUACUGCGAAAGCAUUUGCCAAGGAUGUUUUCAUUAAUCAAGAACGAAAGU